GGCGGCGUCCGGCCGCAGCGCCGCGGGGGCGCUCUGCAGCCCCGAGCGCGGGCACCGCGGCCGUGCGCUCCCUCGGGCUCCGCCCGCUGGGCGCGGGGCGUGCGGCCGGCUCCAGGGGCGUCGGGUCUGGGAAGCAAGGAGUCUCUGGUAAGAUUGAAGUCACAGUGUGAAACCGUUGAUUUGAACCCAAAAGGGGACAAAACAUGGGCCUGAAGUCAGCAACUGUACCAUACUCCGGACUUGAAGCUAGAAACUAAAAGUAUAUGCACAUUGCCAGCCAGAUCUUUACCCUGCUUCUGACCAAGCUUCUGGAACGUGUGCUUCAAAUGCAUGCUCCUGGACAAUGGCACAGCAUGGUGUUUUCACUGAGGAAACAUUCUCCUCAACCAGGACACCUGGGUGGCUCCGUUGGUGACGUGUCCAGCUCUUGGUUCGGCUU